rnacentral:rRNA from 1 species
AUUGAACGCUGGCGGCAGGCCUAACACAUGCAAGUCGAACGAGUGGCGGACGGGUGAGUAAUGUCUGGGAAACUGCCUGAUGGAGGGGGAUAACUACUGGAAACGGUAGCUAAUACCGCAUACCAUCAGAUGUGCCCAGAUGGGAUUAGCUAGUUGGUGGGGUAACGGGUCACCAAGGCGACGAUCCCUAGCUGGUCUGCGAGGAUGACCAGCCACACUGGAACUGAGACACGGUCCAGACGCGUACGUGAGGCAGCAGUGGGGAAGAUGGCACAAUGGGAGGAAGCCUGAGGCAGCCAUGCCGAGUGUAUGAAGAAGGCCUUCGGGUUGUAAAGUACUGUCAGCGGGGAGGCGUUACCCGCAGAAGAAGCACCGGCUAACACCGUGCCAGCAGCCGCGGUAGUUC